CACUAGCACAUAUGUCAAAUUCCUAAUUAACGUUUUAUUCUUUAUAUCCAUCGUUUCUUAGAGCCGUAAUUGUGCUGAUAUCAAUACCAGGGAAGGACACACAGCAAACAUUUGCUGGAUCCACGUCACACCCGUGGCGACUUCUCGGCCACGGGCGUAUUUGGACCUUUUUCUCACAUAC
rnacentral:snoRNA from 24 species